UCAGGAUGAACGCUGGCGGCGUGCUUAACACAUGCAAGUCGAACGAUGAUCCCAGCUUGCUGGGGGAUUAGUGGCGAACGGGUGAGUAACACGUGAGUAACCUGCCCUUGACUCUGGGAUAAGCCUGGGAAACUGGGUCUAAUACCGGAUACGACCAUCUGGCGCAUGUCAUGGUGGUGGAAAGCUUUUGUGGUUUUGGAUGGACUCGCGGCCUAUCAGCUUGUUGGUGGGGUAAUGGCCUACCAAGGCGACGACGGGUAGCCGGCCUGAGAGGGUGACCGGCCACACUGGGACUGAGACACGGCCCAGACUCUUACGGGAGGCAGCAGUGGGGAAUAUUGCACAAUGGGCGCAAGCCUGAUGCAGCGACGCCGCGUGAGGGAUGACGGCCUUCGGGUUGUAAACCUCUUUCAGUAGGGAAGAAGCGAAAG
rnacentral:rRNA from 1 species